rnacentral:rRNA from 1 species
UACGUAGGGACCAAGCGUUGUCCGGAAUCAUUGGGCGUAAAGAGCGUGUAGGCGGCUUGUUAAGUCUUGCGUGAAAUCUCGGGGCUCAACCCCGAGCGGUCGUGAGAAACUGGCAGGCUAGAGUGCGGGUAGGAGGAUGGCGAAUUCCCGGUGUAGCAGUGAAAUGCGUAGAGAUCGAGAGGAACAUCUGUGGCGAAGGCGACUACCUGGCCUGUUCUUGACGCUGAGGCGCGAAAGCUAGGGGAGCAAACGGG